UGGGGAAUCUUGCGCAAUGCGCGAAAGCGUGACGCAGCAACACCGCGUGAGGGAAGACGGCCUUCGGGUUGUAAACCUCUUUCAGUUGGGACGAAGGCCAGGCAGUGAACAGCUGUCCUGGCUGACGGUACCUUCACAAGAAGCCCCGGCUAACUACGUGCCAGCAGCCGCGGUAAUACGUAGGGGGCAAGCGUUGUCCGGAAUCAUUGGGCGUAAAGCGCGCGUAGGCGGCCCGGUAAGUCCGCUCUGAAAGUCGAGGGCUCAACCCUCGGAUGCGGGUGGAUACUGCCGGGCUAGAGUCCGGAAGAGGCAAGUGGAAUUCCUGGUGUAGCGGUGGAAUGCGCAGAUAUCAGGAGGAACACCCAUAGCGAAGGCAGCUUGCUGGGACGGUACUGACGCUAAGGCGCGAAAGCGUGGGGAGCGAACAGGAUUAGAUACCCCCGUAGUCC
rnacentral:rRNA from 1 species